GUGAAUUUAAAACCGGGCCACAGACCACUUCCCCCCGCGGGGGAGGCAGCGUGGGACGUAGGCUGCGCACCUGGGGAAGGAGCGGCUGCCUAACGCGGCGUGGGGGCGUGGGGAACUGGAGAAGCUCCGCACCUGUCUCCAGAGUUACAAAAUCAGCCUAGUUAGAGGACCCCAAGUGAUUCUGAUAGAGGUGAUGCAAUGACCAUGCUUCAAGGACACCCAUGUAAGGAUAUUCAGACAUAUGGUCCACAGGGUUCGCCUCACCCCAUCAUCAUUGUGCUUCUCCCUCAGCCUGACAAAUUUAAUUUGUGAAUCCUUUGGGCAAGGGCUGUAAUGUGAAUUUCAUGUUUUCUGUACUGGCUAGCAUACAACUGGUGAGUGUUGAGAAAAUGUCAAGUUAGAAGUUCAUAUUUCUUACCUCAAAAGUUUCACUGGACUCCAGGUUCAUGAAUGGGUUAAAACUGAAAUCCGUCAUCUCUUGCAGUGGACUCAGAUUCCAGCCAUGCUGCUGUGACUGCUGCUUCUGAUACCCACCACACACUAACAGGGCCAUAUGUCACCCUCUGUUCUGCCGCUGGCUACACCAUCAAAGGAGCUGCAGGCAUUCUGUGGUAGGCCUAACACUGGUCCCUCAAAGAUGUUGACGCUCUAGUCUUUGGCACCUGUGAAUAUGUCACCUUACAUUGCAAAAGGGACGUUACAAAUACAAUUAAGGUUAAGGACUUUGAGAUGGGCAGAUUAUCCUGGAUUGUCCAGGUAGGCCCCAUGGAAUCACAUGAGUCCUUAAAAGCGGAAGGGGAAGGCAGAAGCGUUGCUGGCUCUGAAUAUGGAGGAAGGAGUUCAUAAGCCAUGGCGUGUGAGUGACCUUUAGAAGCUGGGGACAGCCCUCAGCUGACAGCCAACGAGGAGAUGGAGGCAUCAGUCCUAAAACCAUGAGGAUAAAUUCUGCCAACAACCUAAAUGAGCAAGGAAACAAUGCUUCCUGAGAGUGUCCAGAAAGGAACCCAGCCCCGUUGACACCUUGAUUAUAGCCUCAUAAGACCCAUGGAUAUAUUCACAUCGCCACCCGUUAUCCAGCCCGCUGCCUUGCAAGCUUACCACCUAAGCUAAACCCAGCCCAACCAGCUCUCUCUUAUCACCUUUUCCCAUGUGAUUAUAUGCUGUUCAAGAGGCUGAAUGGUCUGAGUAUCCUUCAGAUAAGUAUUUCAUAGUGGCGUUCUUUUAUGAUUCAUUGGAUAAAAGUACUGUGUAGUACAGGAACACAAUACACUUACCAAAAAUAAAUGUAUGGUUUGAGUCUCAGUUUAUCUAUGACUAUACACGCACAUACAGUCCAUGCUACCAAGAAUGUCCUUCUCCCGCUCAGUUCUCACUUGUCAAAGUCCAAUCAAUCCUUCACGGCCAAUUUCAAAUAACAUGCCUUGAAUAA